UACGUAGGGCGCAAGCGUUAUCCGGAAUUAUUGGGCGUAAAGGGCUCGUAGGCGGUUUGUCGCGUCGGGAGUGAAAACACCGGGCUUAACUCGGUGCUUGCUUUCGAUACGGGCAGACUAGAGUUCGGUAGGGGAGUCUGGAAUUCCUGGUGUAGCGGUGAAAUGCGCAGAUAUCAGGAGGAACACCGGUGGCGAAGGCGGGUCUCUGGGCCGAUACUGACGCUGAGGAGCGAAAGCGUGGGGGAGCGAACAGG
rnacentral:rRNA from 1 species